GGAAAGUUGGACUAAAAGUGAUUAGUGUUCAUGGAAGAAUGGUGCCUGAAGAAACUUAUAGAUAAGAUGUCUGUUUUUCGGACUCCUCUGUGUUGUGCAUGCGAAAGUCCUCACUGCCCUGCAAAGCAUCAUCAGAUGAGGCCCUUCAAACUUGGUUUCAGAAGUCCAUAGUGCAUGAUGAUGGAAGAUGGAAUAAGUGGUACAUUGCUGUACCAUUCUGCUGAAUCAAAAUCCCAUGUUAUGUCAAAUACCUUCAAAUAACUAAAUAUGGUAUUAAACGCUAUGCUCUCCACAUGUGGAUUAUCUGAAGGAACCUGGUCAGAGAGCACUGG